GAUGAACGCUGGCGGCGUGCCUAAUACAUGCAAGUCGAGCGAACAGACGAGGAGCUUGCUCCUUUGACGUUAGCGGCGGACGGGUGAGUAACACGUAGGUAACCUACCUAUAAGACUGGGAUAACUUCGGGAAACCGGAGCUAAUACCGGAUAAUAUUUCGAACCGCAUGGUUCGAUAGUGAAAGAUGGCUUUGCUAUCACUUAUAGAUGGACCUGCGCCGUAUUAGCUAGUUGGUAAGGUAACGGCUUACCAAGGCAACGAUGCGUAGCCGAACUGAGAGGGUGAUCGGCCACACUGGAACUGAGACACGGUCCAGACUCCUACGGGAGGCAGCAGUAGGGAAUCUUCCGCAAUGGGCGAAAGCCUGACGGAGCAACGCCGCGUGAGUGAUGAAGGUCUUCGGAUCGUAAAACUCUGUUAUUAGGGAAGAACAAACGUGUAAGUAACUGUGCACGUCUUGACGGUACCUAAUCAGAAAGCCACGGCUAACUACGUG
rnacentral:rRNA from 1 species